UACGUAGGGGCCGAGCGUUGUCCGGAGUUAUUGGGCGUAAAGCGCGCGCAGGCGGCCUCGCGCGCCCGACGUGAAAGCCCCCGGCUUAACCGGGGAGGGUCGUUGGGGACGGCGGGGCUUGAGGGCGGGAGAGGUCGGUGGAAUUCCCGGUGUAGUGGUGAAAUGCGCAGAUAUCGGGAGGAACACCAAUUGCGAAGGCAGCUCGCUGGGACGUCACUGACGCUGAGACGCGAAAGCGUGGGGAGCAAACAGG
rnacentral:rRNA from 1 species